rnacentral:rRNA from 1 species
UACGUAGGGGGCAAGCGUUGUCCGGAUUUACUGGGCGUAAAGAGCGCGUAGGCGGAAGGUUAAGCGUGGCUUGAAAGCCCCCGGCUCAACCGGGGAGGGCGGCUGCGAACUGGCCUUCUUGAGGUCGAUAGAGGAGAGCGGAAUUCCUGGUGUAGCGGUGAAAUGCGUAGAUAUCAGGAGGAACACCCGUGGCGAAGGCGGCUCUCUGGGUCGGACCUGACGCUGAGGCGCGAAAGCGUGGGGAGCGAACGGG